rnacentral:rRNA from 1 species
AGAGUUUGAUCCUGGCUCAGGACGAACGCUGGCGGCGUGCUUAACACAUGCAAGUCGAACGGAAAGGCCCUUCGGGGUACUCGAGUUGCGAACGGGUGAGUAACACGUGGGUGAUCUGCCCUGCACUUCGGGAUAAGCCUGGGAAACUGGGUCUAAUACCGGAUAUGACCAUGGGAUGCAUGUCUUGUGGUGGAAAGCUUUUGCGGUGUGGGAUGGGCCCGCGGCCUAUCAGCUUGUUGGUGGGGUCAAGGCCUACCAAGGCGACGACGGGUAGCCGGCCUGAGAGGGUGACCGGCCACACUGGGACUGAGAUACGGCCCAGACUCCUACGGGAGGCAGCAGUGGGGAAUAUUGCACAAUGGGCGCAAGCCUGAUGCAGCGACGCCGCGUGAGGGACGACGGCCUUCGGGUUGUAAACCUCUUUCAGCACAGACGAAGCGCAAGUGACGGUAUGUGCAGAAGAAGGACCGGCCAACUACGUGCCAGCAGCCGCGGUAAUACGUAGGGUCCGAGCGCUGUCCGGAAUUACUGGGCGUAAAGAGCUCGUAGGUGGUUUGUCGCGUUGUUCGUGAAAACUCACAGCUCAACUGUGGGCGUGCGGGCGAUACGGGCAGACUAGAGUACUGCAGGGGAGACUGGAAUUCCUGGUGUAGCGGUGGAAUGCGCAGAUAUCAGGAGGAACACCGGUGGCGAAGGCGGGUCUCUGGGCAGUAACUGACGCUGAGGAGCGAAAGCGUGGGGAGCGAACAGGAUUAGAUACCCUGGUAGUCCACGCCGUAAACGGUGGGUACUAGGUGUGGGUUUCCUUCCUUGGGAUCCGUGCCGUAGCUAACGCAUUAAGUACCCCGCCUGGGGAGUACGGCCGCAAGGCUAAAACUCAAAUG